AGAACUUGGUUUCUCUCAGCUCUGAAAGAAGCAAGCAGAGCCACUCAACUCAAGUGAACCCUUUUCGGUCGUGGGAGUACUCAACAAAUGCUCACCCCAAAGGUUGUUGUUCAUGAGGGUGUUGUCGUCGAUUACAAAUGUGUGUGCUACUCGUAUGAAGCUGUUGUUAAGGAGGACAAGUACAAUGAGACAUUGUUUCUGUGAUAACUUCAAUCUGUGUUCCAUAUCUAGUUCAAGUAACGAGAGAAAUGUCGAUGAUGUCGAUGAUGGUGUAAUGACAAGUAUUAUGUUAAUACUCUCAAAACGUCCAUGGAGUCUCGAUUGUCAAAAUGGGUAUAAUAUCUAUCGGAAUUACUUCAAUGUAGUACAAAUUUUGGACUAUUUGUUUGAGGAGAGUUUGGAUGCUAAUCUUGCUCUGUGCUUUUUCAAGUGGUCAGAAUGUUGCACUGGAUCAAAACAUACACUUUGGACUAUAUGUCGAAUGGUACAUAUUUUGGUUUCCGGAAACAUGAAACAUAGAGCACUGGACUUGCUACGGCUUCUUGUGAGGAAUUAUGCUGAAGAGGAAAUGUGUGGUUUGUUACUGGAAGUUCUUUAUGGAACCCAUAACGAAAAAAGGGUUUUAGAAAUUGUGUGUAGCAUGCUAGUGGAUCAGUAUAUUAAGGAAGGCAUGGUGAACUUGGCUCUGAAUGUAACAGAUGGAAUGAAGCAGUUAAAGAUUUUUCCUACUGGUGGAGUUUGCAACACUUUGCUACGAGUAUUAUUAAAACUAAACAAGUUGGACUCUGCAUGGGAUUUCUUGGAAAUUUUGCAGACAAGAGGAGGUCUAAAUUCUUCUAUCAUCAAUCUCUUCAUUCGUAAGUUCUGUAGUGAGGGUGAUCUCAGAAGUGGUUUCAAGUUUCCUGUUGAAAUGAAAAAGUGUGGGAUUCAACCUGAUGUUGUUUCAUAUACAAUCAUUAUUCAUUCCCUUUGCAAGAUGUCUUAUACGAAGGAAGCCACUAUGUUAUUGUUUAAGAUGCUGCAGAUGGGUAUAACUCCUGAUUCAGUCUUGAUUAGUUCAAUUAUUCAUGGCCACUGUCAGUUGAAACAGAGAGAAGCUGCAAUUAAGAUACUGAAGACCUUCCGUCCUCCUCUAAAUAUUUUUGUGUACACUAGCUUUAUUUCAAACCUAUGUUCAGAUGGCAACAUGCAUGAAGCUUCUGGGCUGUUUCUUGAGAUGUCUGAGUUUGGCUUAGUCCCAGAUUGUGUUUGUUACUCAACUAUUAUAGGAGCCUACUGCAAAGUGAAAGACAUGAAUAGAGCAUUUCUGUAUUUUGGAAAAAUGUUAAAAGGUGGAAUUACACCAUUGGCUAACACAUACACAUUGCUCAUCGAUGCUUACUGCAAAUCUGGAGAUACGGAAAUGGCAGAACAUGUGUUUCAUGUUAUGCUUUCAGAGGGUGUGCUACCUGAUAUUGUUACUUACAACACUUUAAUGGAUGGCUAUGGAAGAAAGGGACAAUUACAAAAGGUGUUUGGCGUCUUAGAUAUGAUCAAUUCUUCUAGUGUUUCCCCUGAUGUUGUUACAUAUAACACUCUCAUUCAUAGUCUUGCCACAAGAGGAUUUGCGAAUGAGGCAAAACAAAUCAUGAUUGAGCUUAUCAGGAGGGGUUUCUCCCUGGAUGUAGCGUCAUUCACUAAUGUUAUAGACGGAUUCUCAAAGAAGGGGAACUUUGAGGAAGCCUUUUUUGUGUGGUUCUGCAUGAGUGAGCAUGAUGUCAAACCAGAUGUAGUGACAUGCAGUGCUCUUCUCAAUGGAUACUGUAGGAAACAUCAAAUGGAACAGGCCAAUGUUUUAUUUCGCAAGAUGCUUGAUAUUGGAUUACAUCCAGACCUGAUACUGUAUAACACUUUGAUUCGUGGAUUUUGUAGUGUUGGGAGCAUUGAUGAUGCUUGCAACUUGAUAUGUAUGAUGGUUGAAAAUGGUAUUAUUCCCAACCACAUUACUCACCAAGCACUUGUCCUUGGUUUCAGGAAAGCGGGGGUUAGGAACCCUAUAUUAGUGGCAGCUCAUAAGUUGCAAGAUAUUCUUCUUAGAUAUGGUAUUCCUGCUGCUGAAUAUUUAAUAGCAGAAAGCUGCACCCAUUUUGGAGCAUCUUUAGCAAAUCAAUCUGUAGAUCAAUACACAGAAAAUGUUUAGUUUCAAUUAUCAGUAAAUUCAAUUUUUAGGGGGAACAAGUCAGGUAGUGAGGCACUUUGCUUAGCUGUGAGCAGAAGAGAAAUUACCACCAUGGGCCGGGGAUGCUAUCGAUGUCAUUAAUACACAUAUUCACUUCCAGCAUUUUGUUAACACACUUGAUGGCUGAACAGGUCAUUUGGAUCAAGAAACAUCUCCAUUUUCCUGGUGCCAGGACUUAAAUUAAGGAAGAUUUGAGUGAUACUUUAAGAAGAGAUAAAUCGAACUCUCUUUAAUGCUCGACUACUGUGAACUUGGACAUGCAAAGGAUAAUGUGAGCUGGGUGAUAGGCUUUGGUAUGUUGACAGUGGUACUGGCAGUGGGACUCUUAAUAUUUUUACUAGGAACCAAGAACUAUAGAAAGGAAGGACCGCUUGGAAGCGCCUUCACCACCUUGGCGCAAGUUUUUGUGGCGACGACAAGGAGAUGGUUUGUGGAUGAGACGCGUCAUCCUGAUAUCUACAAGGAUCUGGCUGAAACUCAUAUGGGUGUUCAGCCUAAGCAGAAAACUUUAGCACGAACUAACCAAUUCAGAUUUUUUGACAAGGCAAUGAUAAUUGACAACCUUGAUGCAUCAAAGAACAUCAGAAACCCCUUGGAGGCUAUGCUCUCUCAAUCAAGUGGAAGAAGUGAAGCUGGUUCUCCGUCUUAUUCCCAUAUGGGAAUUUGUUGUCUAAUGUUUUUUGCAGUUCAACAGAAACUCCAUAUUUACGACGGGAUUCUUGUCCCAAGUACGAAGGCUCACCGGACAUCCAGGGGUCAUUACGGUGCUUCAACAAAUUGGAUUUGGCCUAUUUCUGUCCAUACUUAACAUGGUUGUGGCGGCUCUGGUGGAAACCAAAAGAGUUAUUUUUAUAGGAAAAUUCUACUAUACAUUGCUGCUAGUAUGCAGCACAUGCUUCUCAGGCCGAUUUCUUCAAACGUACGUCGAAAAAGUCACAUCCAUUAAUAAUGAAUGAGAUGUCACCACAUGCCAAGUUGCGUAACAAAGCAGGACCUUUUCCGAUCAGGCAUUUUCA